GGGGGAUAACGUUUCGAAAGAGACGCUAAUACCGCAUGAGACCACGGACGCUUCGGCGACUGCGGUCAAAGCUGGCCUCUUCAUGAAAGCCAGCACCCAAGGACGAGCCUGCGGCCCAUCAUGCUAGUUGGUAGGGUAAUGGCCUACCAAGGCGAAGACGGGUAGCUGGUCUGAGAGGAUGAUCAGCCACACUGGCACUGAAACACGGGCCAG
rnacentral:rRNA from 1 species